AACGAACGCUGGCGGCAUGCCUAACGCAUGCAAGUCGAACGCCUGUAGCAAUACAGGAGUGGCAGACGGGUGCAUAACACGUGGGAACCUACCCUUGGGUUCGGAAUAACCGCGGGAAACUGCGGCUAAUACCGGAUACGUCCUUCGGGAGAAAGAUUCAUCGCCCUUGGAGGGGCCCGCGUCGGAUUAGCUAGUUGGUGAGGUAACGGCUCACCAAGGCGACGAUCCGUAGCUGAUCUGAGAGGAUGAUCAGCCACACUGGAACUGAGACACGGUCCAGACUCCUACGGGAGGCAGCAGUGGGGAAUAUUGGACAAUGGGGGCAACCCUGAUCCAGCAAUGCCGCGUGGGUGAUGAAGGCCUUCGGGUUGUAAAGCCCUUUUGGCAGGGACGAUGAUGACGGUACCUGCAGAAUAAGCCCCGGCUAACUUCGUGCCAGCCGCCGCGGUAA
rnacentral:rRNA from 1 species